UCUGUAGCUUGCCCUUCACAAAGGUUGCAUGCUUGAGCAAGAACCAACAAUUCAAUGAUUUCCUUCACCAUCUUUUCAAUAUCUGGCGAGAGAAAAAGCUCGGUAAUUUCUGUGAAUCCCUCGUAUCUGAAGGGCUCGCUUUGAUUUCAAAGUCAGAAGCCACAGACAGAGAGUUUACAGAUGAUAAAGCUAAAAGCUUUCUGGUUACGAAGGAGCCAAAACUUGAGCGAGAACAUUGCUG